rnacentral:rRNA from 1 species
GACGAACGCUGGCGGCGUGCCUAAUACAUGCAAGUUGAGCGAUGAAGAUUGGUGCUUGCACCAAUUUGAAGAGCAGCGAACGGGUGAGUAACGCGUGGGGAAUCUGCCUUUGAGCGGGGGACAACAUUUGGAAACGAAUGCUAAUACCGCAUAACAACUUUAAACAUAAGUUUUAAGUUUGAAAGAUGCAAUUGCAUCACUCAAAGAUGAUCCCGCGUUGUAUUAGCUAGUUGGUGAGGUAAAGGCUCACCAAGGCGAUGAUACAUAGCCGACCUGAGAGGGUGGUCGGCCACAUUGGGACUGGGACACGGCCCAAACUCCCACGGGGGGCAGCAGUAGGGAAUCUUCGGCAAUGGGCGAAAGUCUGACCGGGCAACGCCGCGUGAGUGGAGAAGGUUUUCGGGUCGGAAAACUCUGUUGGUAGGGAAGAACGUUGGUGGGAGUGGAAUGCGCAUCAAGUGACGGUAACUACACAGAAAGGGACGGCUAACUACGUG